CGGUAACACCGGUAACCAGGAUGACCCGGAGAGUGGGAAAUGGCGACGGGGUGAGGUACCCGUGGACCCGCAGCCCGUCACAAGGGGACAACACUUGGAAACAGGUGCUAAUACCGUAUAACAAUCGAAACCGCAUGGUUUUGAUUUGAAAGGCGCUUUCGGGUGUCGCUGAUGGAUGGACCCGCGGUGCAUUAGCUAGUUGGUGAGGUAACGGCUCACCAAGGCCACGAUGCAUAGCCGACCUGAGAGGGUGAUCGGCCACAUUGGGACUGAGACACGGCCCAAACUCCUACGGGAGGCAGCAGUAGGGAAUCUUCGGCAAUGGACGAAAGUCUGACCGAGCAACGCCGCGUGAGUGAAGAAGGUUUUCGGAUCGUAAAACUCUGUUGUUAGAGAAGAACAAGGAUGAGAGUAACUGUUCAUCCCUUGACGGUAUCUAACCAGAAAGCCACGGCUAACUACGUGCCAGCAGCCGCGGUAAUACGUAGGUGGCAAGCGUUGUCCGGAUUUAUUGGGCGUAAAGCGAGCGCAGGCGGUUUCUUAAGUCUGAUGUGAAAGCCCCCGGCUCAACCGGGGAGGGUCAUUGGAAACUGGGAGACUUGAGUGCAGAAGAGGAGAGUGGAAUUCCAUGUGUAGCGGUGAAAUGCGUAGAUAUAUGGAGGAACACCAGUGGCGAAAGCGGCUCUCUGGUCUGUAACUGACGCUGAGGCUCGAAAGCGUGGGGAGCAAACAGGAUUAGAUACCCUGGUAGUCCACGCCGUAACGAUGAGUGCUAAGUGUUGGAGGGUUUCCGCCCUUCAGUGCUGCAGCUAACGCAUUAAGCACUCCGCCUGGGGAGUACGACCGCAAGGUUGAAACUCAAAAGGAAUUGACGGGGGCCCGCACACGCGGUGGAGCAUGUGGUUUAAUUCGGAGCAACGCGAGACCUUACAAGGUCCUGACAUCCUUUGACACUCUAGAGAUAGAGCUUCCCCUUCGGGGGCAAAGUGACAGUGUGCAAUGGUGUCGUCAGCUCGUGUCGUGAAAUGUGGAUAAGUCCGCACGAGCGCACCUAAUGGUUAGUUGCAUCAUCAGUGACCUCUACAGACUGCAGUGACACCGAGAAGGUGGAUGACGUCAAGUCGUCAUGACACUAUGACUGGACUAGACGGUCUCGAGUGGAGUGCACCGAGCUACGCGAAAUCGCGAGACCUAGAU
rnacentral:rRNA from 1 species